rfam:Myotis davidii contig78291, whole genome shotgun sequence.
GGCAGUCCUUGGGUGACAGCACCCCGGAAUCCAGCUCCCUCCUCUCUGGUUCUGGGUGUGUCACCUGAGAAUCACA